CACAACUUUACUUUAUCUAUUUCUAAUAUUUUCCUACUCUUUUAUUAAAAUUUAAAAAUUCAUUUUUUACACCCAAUGAUACUUAACUUACUUUUUAUGCUGGAAAUCAAAACCGAAACUUUCCCAUCCCCAAAAAUUUCGCUCAAAAUUUUCCCCUUAAAGUAAAUUUGAAAUUCAAAAAAGUCCAAUCCUUAUUCAUCCGCUUUAGAGUUCAGAAUUGGUUUUUCAUCUUCUCUAGUAAGAUUUCUUCCCCCUUUUUUUUUCUUUUUACUUUCUUGUGUAUUUAAUGUUCUUCCUUUUCUAAAAUAUUUUAUAGUUUUUUUUUCAGAAUCGAAAGUGUUGACACCCAAUUUUGACCCACCUUGGUAUAAAUUAAUUCUCGAGCUUCGUAAAUUUUCCAAACAAUUUAAAUUAAUUAGUUUUAUAAAUUUUGCGAAAAUAUAAUAAUAUAAUGUAUGAAUUUUAUGUUACUUCGGAUACUUUUGUCAUUUUUCUUAUAAUUUUUAGAUAGCCUAUAUAUUUUGCAUGAUUAUGUAUAUAGUUGGUAUAUUUUAUGACUAUUUCUCAAAAUAUUUUAAAUUUUAGUAAGUAUUUUAUUUAAAUAAUUUAGUUUAAAUUAUGGUUAUAUUUUGAAUCACUAUUUUUUACAAUUAAAAUAAUUAUAUUACUAGAAUAAAGAAGCUCGUUGAUUAAUUGAUACAAAUUUAUUUUAUUUAAGGUUUAGCCAAAUUUAUUAUCCUAACUCAAUUUGACCAUUUAUUAAAUUAACCUAUUCCCCCCUAAACUCAUCAAAAACCAGAUUUGAGCCUAUUUCUUUUUCCAAUUCCCCUUUUAAUUUCCAGCCCAUACUAAUUCUUCAUUUAUUCCAGGCCCACUUUUAUUUUUCAGACACCCCAGGCCCAAUUACAUGCCCAUUCCAGCCUACAUUAUGUUCUUCCAGCCCUUUCCUUUCAAAAAACCCUAGUAAUUCCUCUAUAUAAACCCCCCGUCUUCUUCAGAAAAGGGGUUGGAAAAAUUUUGGGAUAUAUUUUUAUCACAUAAAGAUAUAGAGGAAUUUUGAGGAAGCUCUCCGAUUUUUUUUCUUACUAAUACUUUAGCUGGAAUUUCCUAGCAAGAUAUAUUCAUAUAAAGGGGGAAGAAUAAUCGAGCUACGAAAGCAUAGCAAGUUAAGAAGCAAGGGGUUGUUGUUCAAGUUGUGGAAGCUCGUCUUUGCUAGCUCGUCCGUCUCUAGUUCGCUGCCCCGAAGGAGGUACAAAUACGCAGAGAUAAUAUGGAAAAUACAGGGUGAAUAGUGAGAAACACGUAUUCAAACAAGUGCAGGCCUCAAAAAGUCUAAUACGAAUUGGAUAUAUAUAGUAUACAUCAUUUGUAUACUUUAAUUUUUUUUUUCCAGGAAAUGGGCCAGGACCCUUUAGCAGACUUUUUUUUUUUAAAAUAGGACCAAGGGUCCAAAUGUUUUUCUUUUUUGGGAAAUUUUUCAAAAUGUCAAUAUUUUAGCAUUUAA